UGGGGAAUAUUUGACAAUGGGCGAAAGCCUGAUCCAGCCAUGCCGCGUGUGUGAAGAAGGUCUUCGGAUUGUAAAGCACUUUAAGUUGGGAGGAAGGGCAUUAACCUAAUACGUUAGUGUUUUGACGUUACCGACAGAAUAAGCACCGGCUAACUCUGUGCCAGCAGCCGCGGUAAUACAGAGGGUGCAAGCGUUAAUCGGAAUUACUGGGCGUAAAGCGCGCGUAGGUGGUUUGUUAAGUUGGAUGUGAAAUCCCCGGGCUCAACCUGGGAACUGCAUUCAAAACUGACUGACUAGAGUAUGGUAGAGGGUGGUGGAAUUUCUUGUGUAGCGGUGAAAUGCGUAGAUAUAGGAAGGAACACCAGUGGCGAAGGCGACCACCUGGACUAAUACUGACACUGAGGUGCGAAAGCGUGGGGAGCAAACA
rnacentral:rRNA from 1 species